UGUUCAUUUCCAAUCCGAUUUUUUCCCAUUCGGGAUUCAGAUUCGUGGAUUAGUAAAUCAGCCCCUUGGUCUUUGUUUAUCCGCCCCAUGUGGCAUUGGCCUAAGGGUCUCACCGCUUGUUGCUUAACUUUGUUCCUAUUGCUCCUCGCCCAAUGCCCACUUUUAGCUUGUCAUUUCCAAGCUAAUUUGAAUGCCUUUAAUGCACUUUAAAUCUUACCAACCUCAAUGCUAACUUUUUUUAUCAAUAAACAAGUUUAUUUCAUUAAGGUUUAAUAACAGAAUUGCCCUUUUUUAACUUUAAUCUGCAUGCAUUCAUUCAUUAUUGCUUACUUAAACCAUAGUUGUUAACAAAUAUUAAGUUCAUUAUAUGCCGAAAAACACUGAUUAGUAGACAUACAAAAGGGUAAAUUUGGAUGAAAUUUAUAAAUGUUUUAAAACAUCAGAUAAUUUAUAAAUAGGCUUUCAUAGGAUUUAAAGAAAAAUUUAUGUAAGCCAAAGUACAACAUUCAGUGAACAUUCACUAGGUACCUCAGUGUACCCAGUGUACCUAUCUACUAAAGGGGGAGUUAACAUUUAAAUGAUCUUUUAGUUUGGUGUAGACAGUGAUAUUCUGAGACAAUUAGCACUUUCUAAUCUUUUAUCUUUUGUGGCUUGUAAACAUUACACAUAAUAAUAACACCAAACAAAAUAUUAUACGUAACAAGGACAUUUAUGCUACUCAAAUCUCAGUUUGUAUUCAAUUAUAUACCGGCUUCUCUAGUGUUGGUUUUUUAGAAGCCAAUGGUCAUGUGAUAAGGCUGGAGCAGGUGCUAUUGUAUUACUCUAAAGGUGGGCAUACAUGGGCCGAUUUUAGCUGCCAAUAGGGCCAAACGAUUGAAUUAGCCUAAAUUCGCCCAACCGUAGGUGAGCAUAAUGAUAGAAGAUUCACUCACUUGGUGACCUUGCCAAGGGAAUGAAUCUUACAGUGUAUGGCCACCAUUAGAUAGCAUGACUUGACAGAUCGUGUUGGUAGGUAAACACACAUGCGUCUUGGCAGGAGUUCAAUGCAACAGGUAAUUUAAUGCAACAGGUAAUUUUGAAAAGCUUUGAAUAAGCCCUGUGUUAUGGUUGGAGCUUAUUUUAAAAGCCAUAAGAAUAAGCUAAUUAAAUAAAAAGGUCUCAUCUCUUAUCUCCUGUUAGUUUGCCUUCCUUUAUAGAAAUAUUUCUCUUGCAUGGAGAGGGUGUGCCAUAUUUUACUUUAUGUUAAAGUUACCUUAUGUUUUUUGCUUAUAUCUAGUGCAGAACAGUCUGGAAAAAAUAAACACCAGAUAUAGAGACACAGCUGAGUUACUUUGUACUUAUUUUUACUAGCAGGGUUGGACUGGGUCAGAGGGACACCUGGAGGGCUGAUGCCCCAGGUCCGCUGCCUGUCUGCAAUUUGGCCUCAAAGAAAGAUCUUUGCUACCAUAGAGUCCCCGAGACCUAGGUUUCACCCAUUGCUGCAUAUAAUGUAUGUUUGAUUUAAGCUCUAUAUUAUUUUGUUUGUUUCAAAUAAACUUUUUUUUAAAGACAA